rnacentral:rRNA from 1 species
GACGGAAGGUGCAAGCGUUGCUCGGAAUCACUGGGCGUAAAGGGUGCGUAGGCGGCUUCUUAAGUCUGGUGUGAAAGCCCAGGGCUCAGCUCUGGAAGUGCACUAGAAACUGGGAAGCUUGAGUACCGGAGGGGAGAGUGGAAUUCCUGGUGUAGCGGUGAAAUGCGUAGAUAUCAGGAGGAAUACCGGUGGCGAAAGCGACUCUCUGGACGGUACUGACGCUGAGGCACGAAAGCGUGGGGAGCAAACAGG